CCCAAAGGACAAAAAGACAUUCUGUGAAAAAGACUUCUACACUUGAAUGUUUAUAGCAGCACAAUUCACAAUUGAAGAGAUGUGAAAACAGCCCACUCACAUUCAUAGCAGUGUUAUUCACAAUAGCCUAAAGGUGGAAGCAACCCAAGUGUUCACCAGUGAUGAAGGAUGAACCAAACGUGGCUGAUACAUACAGAGGACUGUUAUUCAACCUGAAAAAGAAAGAUUCUGAUGCAUGCUACCACGUGGAUGAACUUGGAGGACAUUGUGCUGAGUGAAUAUGCCGGUCACUAAAGAUUGCAUAUCAAGCCCAGGAUGAAAGAGAGACGCUCAGCCUGUCGUGCCUUUCCCAGCAAAGGCAAGUUCACGGUGACCAUGUGGCCCUUUGUGUGGAGAGGCUGCCACCGGGGUCUACGCAGUGCAGCGUCCUCAAGGUGACAGCUGAGGCCCAGGGCUCCACCACGCUCCUGGUGAGCUACAAACAGGGCCACAGCCACCUGCGUGCCAGGAUCACCAUCGCUGCCUACCUGCCCCUCAAGGCGGAGCUGCCGGUCAGAGAAGGCUCGGGAUCCUUCUUCCUCAACACGAGCACUGCAGACGUCGUCACAGUGGCCUCCCAGGAGGCCAGGGGAGUUACCGUGGUGAGCUGGCUCUAGUUCUUCAUCUGGGCCACUGUGUGGUUAGUGGAUUGACUAUUGGAAGAGCUGGCACUUAGUCACACCAGCUAUAACCAGCAGGGUCUUCAGAAUCUCCGCUUCAUUCAGCAACGUUGGUCAUCGCUGUGCCGCCUCCGUGGGUUUUAUUCCAAGUCCACACACUACUCGCACUAUUAGUUACCUAAUGGUUUCCUUUCGAUCCAUCUUUUAAUUAAGAAUAAAACAUCAUUUCAUAAGCACCACUAUAACAACCAUAAAGAAAAUCAUUUUUAGAGGAUGUAUCAGAUUUUUCUAUUAAUAUUUUUCCAUGUUUCUUUCCUGCCCCUCUCCCUAUCCUUGCAAGUACUGACUUCGCUAUGCCUGUAGGGGGCAGAAUUUAGCAUUCUGCCUUUUUGAUUAUGUUAUCCUAAGAUUUUUAUAUUUUUCCCUGUUGCGAUAUAGGCUAGGCAGUUAUUUUAUGCAGCCAUUUGUACUUUAGCCAUUCUCUUUUUGAGGAGCAUGUGGAUUGUUUAAACAUUUUAUUUUAUUUUUAAAAAAAUAGCAAAGCAUAGAAUCAAAAGAGUAAAAACAAACACCACCAUUCUACAUGUCUGAGCAUCUGCAUGAUGGGUUAUCAGGCAGUCAUGAAAAUUGAUCUCACUUGUAAAGGAAGCUCUUACCACUGAAUGUGUAGAGAAAGUCAUGAGCGCCAAGGCUCAGCACUGACGUCCACCCUAUGAUUUCAGUGUAGACUAGAGAUGGGCACCAGGCUGAGGGACAAUCUGAGGGACAGAUUCUGUGCUGCACCGCAAAGUGCACGAAAAUGCUUGAUGGAUUUUACCUAUGAAAGCGCCAUGUGUAACCACAAUCCAGAUCAAAAUACUGAACAUUUUCAGCACCUUAGAAGAUCUUACCACGCUUUCUCCUAGCCACAGCCCCCAACACCCACAAAUAAUAACCGCGCUGAUUUCCACCCUCAUGGAUUAGCUGUGCCUGCUCCUAACCUCUGUGUAAGUGGAACAACACAACAUGUAUCUUUUUGUAUCUUUUCUGUGUGCCGCUCACCCAUGUUGUUACAUGCACUGUAGUUUGGUCUAUUUCAUUGCUGUGCAGUGUUCCAUUCCUUGCAAAUGUUACCACUGAUGUUUCCAUUCCUUUGCUUUGGUGGCUACAAAGUAUCAUUUUGUGGGGAUGUGCACUUUUUUAAACAAACUGACUUUAUUUCUUCAGAGCAAUUGCAGGUUCACAGCAAAACUGAGCUGUGUGAAAGUGCAGAGUUCCGUGUCCGCCCACCCCACAAACACACAGCCUCCUCCACUGCACACACCCCCACCAGAGGGGCACACUGUCACACUUGCUGAACCUGCACUGACGCCUCAUGUCAGCCACGCUUUAGCAUUAGGGAGUGCUCUGUCAUAAAUCCCUGAUGACUUUUCUUGCUCUGAACUCUGCUGUGACCCUGCUUUCUUUUGAUUAGUGUUAGCCUGGUGUAUUAUUCUCCAUCCAUUUACUUUUCAUCUGAUGUGUCUUUGUAUUUAAAAUGGGUUUCUGGUAGACAACCUGAAGUCAGGUCUUUGUUUUUUGAUGCACUCUGACAAUCUUUUUCCUAUAUUUUAACCAUUGACAUUUAAAGUAAUUAUUGAUACAAUUGUGUAACAGGGAAUGGCCUGGAAAGAAAAAAAAAGAUUUUGUCUUUUUAAAACUUGCCCCACUCUAUUUGGAACUCUACAGGGUGGCCUGCUCCCUAAAGCAGGUUAAGUCUUUUGUUAAAACUCCCAGUGGCACCAGCCCCCCAGGUUCACAGCUUUGGGGGGGUUCACAGCUUUGCCUUUGCAGACCUGUGACCAUUAGAAUAGGUAACCACAGGAAGUGCCUGAAGCUGAGAACCCUCCCUUUAGAAGCACUGUUUUUGCCUAUAUGGAGGAAAAAUUUGGAUUUUGAGAGAAUAGUCUGCUUUUUUCUCCCUUUGCUGACAAAGGUAAUAAAUCUCUUUCCCCAUCCCCAAAGACUUGUCCUUGUUCUUGGACAAAUGCCCAGUUUUCGGUAACAGAUUUUGGUGUCUCUGGGUGGGCCCAUUGGCUUCCUGGCAGAAUUGAACCCUGCCACUGCGGGAGGAGGCAAGGAACAGCUCCUCCCCCUCCUCCUCCUCUGACUCUCCUGUUGCUCCUCCAUGCACAGCACAAGGGGCCCUCAGAUCACAGUGGCCUGGCCGCUCCCAGGAGCUCAUUAGGAAGGCAGGCUCUAGGCCCACCCCAGACCUGCCUUCUCAACAAGACCCCCAAGGGACUUCUGUGCACUUUUCUAAUCUCAGAGUAAUCUGAGUUAAUUGAAGUAGAAAAUACAGAUAAGCAAGAAGAAAAGAGACAUCACCUGCAGCCCCUUUUCUGGUUGCUAACGCCACUUUCAUUUGCAGUUCUUUCUCCCAAGAGUUUUUCCCUAUAUACAUGCACACAGACACAACUUUUCCUUACAGAAAUGUCAGUAAGCUAGAGAGAUUUUGUAACCUAUGCUUUUCAUGCAUGUAAAUACAUCAGAGCAUCUUGCCAUGUUGGUAAGUAUAGGUCUAUAUCCAUGACUCACUCAUUAUACAUUGAUUCAACAAAUAUUAAGUGCUUCCUGUGUGCCAAGCCCUGUGCUAGGUUCUAGGUUUACACUGGGGAAUAUAACAGUUAUAGUCCAAUCAGGCAAAAAGAGAAACCAAGAAUCGCACUAUACUCAGAAGCACUGACAAUGUGACGUGUUCCUGGAAAUCCCAUGUUACUGGGGGAUUUGACCUGGUCAGGGAGGCGAUGACAGGGCUGGCGUUGGAAGAGUGAGUGGCGGUUACCCCAGGGGUUGGGGUGGGGAGAGCGUUCCUUGCAGGCGGCAGGCACAGUGCUCAGAGCUGCGGGCGGGAUGGAGGGAGCGCAGAGGCCGGCUGGCGCUCACGUGCAGCACGCUGACCCACCCAUCUCCAGGGACUGGGCAUGUGGCUCGUUCCCAACGUUUUGGUGUCAUAAGCAAGUCUGAAAUGAACAUCCCGGUGCAGACAACUGUGGGCUUGCCGACGACUUCCCUAGCACAGCCUCCCAGCUGCCACACGGACUUUCCUCUGGGUGGGUCUUGAGAGCCGUCUAAGCAAAAUCCCAACCUGGAUUUACUCCCUGCGAGCCCCUCCCGGAGGCAGCCACCCCAUUUCUCUGCCUGCCUCUGCUCUAGUCCACAUCAGCGGUGUCAACUGUGGUUGGCCAGGGCCAGCCUGGGACAGGGACCAAAGGUGUUCUGAGGACAGGAAGGACGAUAGCAGCUGAGCCUCCCUGCUGGUGGGAGGGUGGUUCUCGCAAUGCUGCACUCAACUCAGUGGGUCUGGGACCCCGGAGGCUUCCGACCCAUCCCUACCCUCCCACAGCUCACUGUCCAGUAUGGAGACAGCCCAGGCGCACACCACGGCCAGAGUGGGGGCAGUCCUGGGGAAGCUCAGACAAGGCCCCACUCUGGUGGAGAGCAAAGGAUGAUCAGGGAGGACUCCCUGGAAGAGGCAUCCUGGAUCGGGGAGGGUCAGGGAUCUUGAAGGAGUAGUAAGAGGGAAACAGGGCGGUGUUCCCAGAAGAGGAAGAGCACGCACGAAGAUGAGCAGACAGAGGGCCAGGGCCUGUGCGUGUGCCCAGUGGCAGUGGUGGCAGGGAGGGCAAGGCUGAGGUCAGGAGAGUAUUGAGGCUGGGUGGCCAGGGUGGGCCUUCAGCAGGUCUGUCGUAGACGUUAAAGUGAGUUUAGGGAGGGGCUGGACCAGGCCACUAUUCUCUAUCUGCAGAAGCCUGUGUUCCAGUCCUGCUCUGCUUCUUGUGCACUGUGUGACCACGAGCAAGUUGCCUGACCUCUCUGUGCCUCUGUUUCUUCACCUAGGAAAUGGAGGCAACACAAGCGGGUCCAUCAUUUGGGGUGAUUUGAGGAUUCCAUGAGUUAAUUAAUGGAAAAGACUUAGAAGAAUGCCUGGUGGGUGGAGAGAACCUACUCGAUCAAGAAGACCUGCCAUUAUUAUUACCGUUAAUGCUGCUAAUGUUAUUAUUAAUACCAAGAUUAUCAUCAUCUCUAUGGCAUCUACUACAUUCAUGGACAUUCUGUGUUCUUCUUAAUCUUCUCUUUUAAAUUGAUUUCUUUAGAGCUUGGCUUUGUCCUAAGCAAUCAUAUCCACAAAAAUCACAAGUUUUCCGACUUGUCAAAAAUUAUUUUCUAAUUCACAUUGAAACAAACCCGUAACCAUUAACCCUAGAAUAGUGGUGUCCACAGGCCAUCUAGUGACAUUGCACCUCUGCAGUGGCACAUGGACCACCUGCGGGGAAUCCCCGGCCCCUGCCCUUGGCCUUGUGCUCUCGGAGACCCCUCUGCCGCCCAGUUUCAUCUGCUGCCAGAAACUACCCCUCCCUGUGCCUCCUCCCUCUCACCCCAGCCCAUCAUACUAAGGUGUAGUGACUACAACUGCUCACAUGCGCACAGCAAAGUGCAGCACAGGAAGGGCCAGCUGGAGACCUCAGGCGAGUCACUCACCUCUGAGCCUCAGUUUCCUCGGCUGCAGGGUGGGCACAUCGAAACCCCUCUUGCAGGGGCGCUUGUACAUAUUAAGCAACAUUGCACAAGCGUGUGUUGAACAGCUGCCACGCGCCUGUCCUCUGCAUGGUGGACUUGGCGUCUCACACGGAGCUGGCAUUCUAGUGCGGCGUGGAAAAGGCAAUAGAUAAGAUUGUGUCAGAGGCCACGCUAAGUGCCAGGAGAAGCAUAAAACAGGGUCAUAGGAUAGAGGAUUGGGGGACCCUCCUUCCAUCUGGUGCUCAGGGAAAACUCUUUCUGCAGCAGUGAACGAAUGUUAUAGUGUGAGCAUGUUCCAGAAGUUGCACUAAAAGUCAUUCAUUGUUUAUCUGAAAUUCCAAUGUAAGUGGGAGCCUGUGUUUUAUUUGGCAGCUCGAGGUUGUGGAGGGGACACUGGGGGGAGAUGAGGCAGUUACAGGACAGGGCCUGGCAGGUCUGGGGAGGUGGCAGGAUUUUAUUCUAAGGGUCUCAGUCAACAGGGGCUGAGCCCUCCCGCCUCUUGCCUGAUCCACAUGCUCCUGGGUGGGUGAUCUUUGCUUCAUGGGGGAAUGUCUGUCAAGGGCCCCAGGAUAAGCAACACCCAUGCUGAAAAGACCCUUCCAACAGAUGACUCAUCCCAAGCAACAGGCAAGAGAGCAGGGGCUGCUCCAUGCUCGUAGGAGGCAAAAACGUCCCUUAAAGAAAUGAAGUCAAGAGUUCGAAACCAGCCUGAGCAAGAACGAGACCCCGUUUCUGCUAAAAAAUAGA